UCCCUGGUAGCUCAGACGGUAAAGCGUCUGCCUGCAAUGCAGGAGACAUGGGUUCAAUUCCUGGGUCGGGAA
rnacentral:tRNA from 1 species